CCUACGGGUGGCAGCAGUCGAGAAUCAUUCACAAUGGGGGAAACCCUGAUGGUGCGACGCCGCGUGGGGGAAUGAAGGUCUUCGGAUUGUAAACCCCUGUCAUGUGGGAGCAAAUUAAAAAGAUAGUACCACAAGAGGAAGAGACGGCUAACUCUGUGCCAGCAGCCGCGGUAAUACAGAGGUAUCAAGCGUUGUUCGGAAUCACUGGGCGUAAAGGGUGCGUAGGCUGUUUCGUAAGUCGGGUGUGAAAGGCGCGGGCUCAACCCGCGGACGGCACAUGAUACUGCGAGACUAGAGUAAUGGAGGGGGAACCGGAAUUCUCGGUGUAGCAGUGAAAUGCGUAGAUAUCGAGAGGAACACUCGUGGCGAAGGCGGGUUCCUGGACAUUAACUGACGCUGAGGCACGAAGGCCAGGGGAGCGAAAGGGAUUAGAUACCCUUGUAGUC
rnacentral:rRNA from 1 species